AGAGUUUGAUCCUGGCUCAGGACGAACGCUGGCGGCGUGCCUAACACAUGCAAGUCGAACGGAACUGUUUUGAAAGAUUUCUUCGGAAUGAAUUUGAUUUAGUUUAGUGGCGGACGGGUGAGUAACGCGUGAGUAACCUGCCUUCAAGAGGGGGAUAACAUUCUGAAAAGGAUGCUAAUACCGCAUGAUAUAUCGGAACCACAUGGUUCUGAUAUCAAAGAUUUUAUCGCUUGAAGAUGGACUCGCGUCCGAUUAGUUAGUUGGUGAGGUAACGGCUCACCAAGACCGCGAUCGGUAGCCGGACUGAGAGGUUGAACGGCCACAUUGGGACUGAGACACGGCCCAGACUCCUACGGGAGGCAGCAGUGGGGGAUAUUGCGCAAUGGGGGCAACCCUGACGCAGCAACGCCGCGUGAAGGAUGAAGGUUUUCGGAUUGUAAACUUCUUUUAUUAAGGACGAAAAAUGACGGUACUUAAUGAAUAAGCUCCGGCUAACUACGUGCCAGCAGCCGCGGUAAUACGUAGGGAGCAAGCGUUGUCCGGAUUUACUGGGUGUAAAGGGUGCGUAGGCGGCUUUGCAAGUCAGAUGUGAAAUCUAUGGGCUCAACCCAUAAACUGCAUUUGAAACUGUAGAGCUUGAGUGAAGUAGAGGCAGGCGGAAUUCCCCGUGUAGCGGUGAAAUGCGUAGAGAUGGGGAGGAACACCAGUGGCGAAGGCGGCCUGCUGGGCUUUAACUGACGCUGAGGCACGAAAGCGUGGGUAGCAAACAGGAUUAGAUACCCUGGUAGUCCACGCUGUAAACGAUGAUUACUAGGUGUGGGGGGUCUGACCCCUUCCGUGCCGGAGUUAACGCAAUACGUACCAAAGCAUCACCGCCAAGACCAUGAUAUUUUAACUUCUUCCACUCAAAGGUUGGGGCUGACAGCUUUGUUUUCUUAUUGUUCACCCACGCAUAUCUGCUGUCUGCCUCUACUGCAUAAUUGAUCCGAUCUCCUUCUCUUUUUUCAAUAGUUUCCAUAUAUUCAAUGGAUCCAUCUGCCUUUCUUCUUGUUCCGGAAAACAGAUAAUCCCAGCAGAUUUCUGCAUCAUCAAACGUCUGUCCAUGAUCCCUGUUCUUUACAUCGCGGAAUAUAUAAUCUGCUUUUUUCCCUUUAUAAAAAGCAUAGUUAUUUUCACCAUCCAGUUUUAUCACAGGAAGCUCUUUACACUGGUUUACGAUCAACCAGUAAUCGCGGUUUCCUGCUACAAUGUCAAGUGGACUGUCUGUACUUCCAGGUGGUGUUCCGUCGUUUUCCAUUCUUGUCUGCAAUACCGGAAGCGGUCCCGCAUCAUUGUUUGGUGUCCCAUCUUCCCUGAACAUAAGUCCCAUUGUUCC
rnacentral:rRNA from 1 species